UCCGCGCCCCCCGCUGCGCGGCGCCCCACCACUAUGUGACGUACUGCGAGAUCCGGGGGGCAGCGAUCUCGCCAAGAGCGCGCAGUCGAAGCCACGUCCACAGCAGCGCAGCGCCAGGUCGGUCGGCCUCAACGCCCGGCGACUGACUCGCGGUCGGCGAGCAAUGCGCGGUCGGCAUCUUCUGCUGGCCACGCCCGACGACGCAUGGUGUUCCGUGCAGGCGCCGCGAGGGAGGAAACCGUGCAGCAAGCCGCCCUGCUCGCCCGGAUGGAUGGGCGGAGAUCGAGCAGGAACGCGCGGGAUUUGAUCUUACCUUCUCACGGUCGGCUACCCUCUCUCCCUCCGUGUCCUCCAUCGGUGAAGUUAGAUCUUGGAGGUAAGCAAAAACCCUGGAUGCUAGAUUGAGUCUAUCUUAUACAUACGGGCUUUGAAGGGUAGCUAGAUAAGUAGUAUACGGUUAGGAUUAGGUUGUUAGGAUAAGGUGUUUUUGAGGGGAUUGUGUUUUCGUUGGAUAAGCUGUUUUAACUGUUUUAACUGGUGACUGUGCUUUGCAGGUGAAAUUUUGAUACUUGUUUGGUAAACUGUUUUGAAUGAAUUUUUAUAAUUAUAGUCGACUGCCCGUGCGUUGCUACGGGAUGAUAAAAUUAGACACAUAGAUAUUUUAACUUUAAAACAUCGUUAAUUCAAUGUGUCGCAAGCAACAUGAAUAGAAUAUAAAUGUUAGUUUGAUUUUCAAUGUAAAUUUCAUGAAAAUAAAAUAUGCCAAUGCAAAGACUGAACCACGUAUGAGAGUUACCACUCCAACUUUUAAUAUUGUGCCAUUGUGCCGGAUUCAAAUACCAAUCCGUAGCCCCACACAAAAAAAAACAGUCCGUAGUAAUAAAAUGCAAGGCAAAUUUAGGCUGAUUUCUAUGCUCUCGCGCUCUCUUAAAAACAUAGCAAAAUUACCCUGUGCUCUCACGUUCGUCCUGCCCCAGCUGCAUCUCUCCCGAUGAGGUGCCUUCCCAUGUGCACAUAUUUUCCCCAAAAUUUGAGCUCAUAAAGCAUCAAGUUGGAACAGCAAAACACAAGGCAAUAGGGCAUCAGAUUACAAUAAAAGCAUUGGGUUGGAACAGCGUAAAACAUAAGAUAAUAAGGCAUUAGGUUCUGCAUGUUGAGUUGAGACUUGAGAAUCAGGUUCACCAAAAAAUUCUCACAAAUUAUUUUCGUGUUCAUAGAUAGAAGUUCAAGAUGAUAAUAAAAGGUCCGUACUUUUCCUCUUCACCAGAGUUUUCAUGUUCCCUUGUGUGGCCUUCUCUGCAACCUUUUGUACAAGGCUAUUCAUAGGAGUUCCCAAGAGCAUGGCUUGGGAUAGGUUGACCUGCAGCUACGCCAUUGCCAGCUCUCCAAGGAUCGUAAUAGUAAACAUGUCCUCCACUGGUCUUAAUGGUGAUAUAUCGUCUUCUUUCGCAACUCUCAAGGUUGUCCAAUGUAUGUUAAGAGUUGUAGAUAUAUCUUAUCCUUUGUUUGCUCUUUGCAUUUUAGUAAAGAAAAGAAAAGAGGAAAAUACAUGCCCCACGGAAACUGAAAUUGAGGAUAUAGUGAUUGACCUCUUCUAGUUAUUAAAUUCUUAAUCAUGCGGAUC